UGAAGGAUAAACGACAUUUAUAAUAACCCUUUUGAUUAACUUUGACAAAAAAAACAUACGGUUAACUAAUCUAAACUUAAAACAUCAACUCUAAACCUUAAAUCAUCAACUCUAAACCCUUAACCCCGAAACAUCAACUGUAAACCCUUAACCCCGAAACAUCAACUCUAAACCCUAAACCUUCAAAUCUAAACCCUAAAACAUCAACUCUAAACCCUAAACGUAGACCCUAAACCCUAAACCCUAAAACCCUAAACCUUCAAAUCUAAACCUUAAAACAUCAACUCUAAACCCUAAACGUAAACCCUAAACCCUAAAACCUAAACCUUCAAAUCUAAACCCUAAAACAUCAACUC
rnacentral:lncRNA from 1 species